AGUCCAUGAUGAGGGACUUUCCUCAAUAGUUCCUUGAAACGCUCCCAUAGCUCAUACAAUGACUCCCCGUCCUGUUGAGAGAAGGUGGUGAUAUCAUUCCUCAUCUU
rnacentral:snoRNA from 1 species